rnacentral:rRNA from 1 species
UGUCUCCUUUUUCUAAUCAGUGAAACUAAUCUCCCCGUGAAGAAGCGGGGAUACUACUAUAAGACGAGAAGACCCCAUGGAGCUUUAAACCCAACUACACCCCUAUUUACAACAACUACUUAACCAAUUGGACACUGUAUGCUUGGUUUUAGGUUGGGGCGACCACGGAGUAAAAAAUAACCUCCACGAUAAAUGGGCUUACCCCCUUAUCUAAGAGCCACACCUCUAAGAAUUAAAAUAUUAAUAUAAUAUGAUCCUUUCUUGAUCAACGGACCAAGUUACCCUGGGGAUAACAGCGCAAUCCAUUUCAAGAGCCCCUAUCGACAAAUGGG